rnacentral:lncRNA from 1 species
UCCGAACUACGUGAGACCGUGGAGCCGCCAGCCUUCAUUCAGACUCCGGCAACAGGCGGUGAGGGAGCUUUCCACCGCAAAAUGUUAUCCAAGUACCUCCCCCAGUUUCGCUGACCUUCUCUUAAAGGCCCAUCACUGCUGCCGGAUCUGUUCAUUUAGCAACCUGUUCGUUUCAUGAUUUCUGGCUAGCAGCCUUUACAUUGGACCAGCAGGCCUCGCUAGUACUUUUGUUCCAGUCGUCUGUGUAUUUGAGAUGAAACUGCCCUGAGAUGAGAGUCCUUUUUGGGUUUUAUUAUUGCACAAAAUUUCUUUAAAGAGUGUGGGCCCAUGUACACGUUUCACUACCGCAGGCUUUCUAGUUUUGUUUUUAAGUAGAAAAAGAAGAAAAACUACAACUCAGAAAUUUUCAAUUUUAUUAAUAUUCAAUUUACGUAACAGGCUCAAAUUUUAUUAAUUGAAUUCUGCAUCCAUACGAAUUUAGUCUUAAUUUAUAAAGCAACUUACUUCGAUACUCUUCCUUGAAGUAUGUUAUAAAAUACAACGUUUAAAUAAACAUCACAAAAAUA